rnacentral:rRNA from 1 species
GGAGUACGGCCGCAAGGUUAAAACUCAAAUGAAUUGACGGGGGCCCGCACAGCGGUGGAGCAUGUGGUUUAUUUCGAUGCAACGCGAAGAACCUUACAUGGUCUUGACAUCCAUAGAAUUCUGCAGAGAUGUGGGAGUGCCUUCGGGAACUAUGAGACAGGUGCUGCAUGGCUGUCGUCAGCUCGUGUUGUGAAAUGUUGGGUUAAGUCCCGCAACGAGCGCAACCCUUAUUCUUUGUUGCCAGCGAUUUGGUCGGGAACUCAAAGGAGACUGCCGUUGAUAAAGCGGAGGAAGGUGGGGACGACGUCAAGUCAUCAUGGCCCUUACGACCAGGGCUACACACGUGCUACAAUGGCGUAUACAAAGGGAAGCGAAGGUGCGAGCUGGAGCGGAUCUCAUAAAGUACGUCUAAGUUCGGAUUGGAGUCUGCAACUCGACUCCAUGAAGUCGGAAUCGCUAGUAAUCGUAGAUCAGAAUGCUACGGUGAAUACGUUCCCGGGCCUUGUACACACCGCCCGUCACACCAUGGGAGUGGGUUGCACCAGAAGUAGAUAGCUUAACCGCGAGGGGGGCGUUUACCACGGUGUGAUUCAUGACUGGGGUGAAGUCGUAACAAGGUAACCA